AACGAACGCUGGCGGCAUGCCUAACACAUGCAAGUCGAACGAGACCUUCGGGUCUAGUGGCGCACGGGUGCGUAACGCGUGGGAACCUGCCCUUAGGUUCGGAAUAACUCCCCGAAAGGGGUGCUAAUACCGGAUAAUGUCUUCGGACCAAAGAUUUAUCGCCUUUGGAUGGGCCCGCGUUGGAUUAGCUAGUUGGUAGGGUAAAAGCCUACCAAGGCGACGAUCCAUAGCUGGUCUGAGAGGAUGAUCAGCCACACUGGGACUGAGACACGGCCCAGACUCCUACGGGAGGCAGCAGUGGGGAAUAUUGGACAAUGGGCGAAAGCCUGAUACAGCAAUGCCGCGUGAGUGAUGAAGGCCGUAGGGUUGUAAAGCUCUUUUACCCGGGAUGAUAAUGACAGUACCGGGAGAAUAAGCUCCGGCUAACUCCGUG
rnacentral:rRNA from 1 species